ACAUCCAUGGCUGAAUGGUUAAAGUGCCCAGCCUAAUAAAGGGGCGAAAAUUCAUAGGUUCGAUUCCUGUUGGAUGCA
rnacentral:tRNA from 1 species